AGAGGUUUAGGUUAAAAAUAGACCAAGGGCCUUCAAAGCCCUAAGCGAGGGUGAAAAUCCCCCAACCCCUG
rnacentral:tRNA from 1 species